AACACGUUAUAAUAUUAUAUAUAUAUAUAGUCGAAUAAAUUCGACAAGAUAUAAUUCAACAAACAAACUACCAAUCAAGCAAACUAUCUAGUAUCUUCAUACCACGAAAGUGGGCAUAAUCAGAUACACUAACACGAUAACGUUGCAAUAUAAAACAAGCAUGAAUGGUGGUCUCAGCACUAGUUCCUACUUAUCUGUUCAACAUACUUGAGGGGGUUGACUAAUAAACAGUAAGAAGUAUAACUAGUUGAUAAAAUAAUUUUCCCUCCUAUGGCUUUUCUAAUCCAUUUUUUAGGGUCACGUCCUACAGUCAACACACUGCUCUGAUACCAUCUGUAACGACCAAACCUCGAAGUAUUUGAGUCUCUGUGCUUACCGUGCUAGUCCCUGGAUCAAACUUGCUAGGACACACAGUAUAGAUGAAUACCAGAAUAGCAAGUGCAUCAUUUAUUACAACGUAUGAUCCAGAAUGUAUAAAAUAAAACAAUCUACAUAGCACAUGGCUAGCUUUAUUCAAUCAAAUAGCGGAAAGUAGCAGAAAAUAACGAUGAGUCCCAUCAUAGCCCACUGGCGAUGUUGAGUGCAGACUCGCGACCCUAAUGGUAUCUUACUCUUCGUCUGAAUAUCCUGCAACAUGAGACGUUGCAGCCAUACAUGUCAAUACUUUAAAUGUGUUGGCAAGUUACAUAGGAGCAAUAAUAUAGCAGACCUACAUGUAUAUGCAUAGUAUAACAAAAGGAAGCCUUGAAAGUUUAUUUUGCAGAAAGCUGAUUUUGUCCUCAUAACUACCUAAUAGUCAAAUUUUUAUUUAGUUCUUUUAUUACGACAAUUAAAUACACAAGGUUGAAUUGGCAGCUCCAAUUCCAACCUACCCAUUAUUAAGUUUUCCCACAAAUAUUAUUAAGUGUCACAUCUGUCAAGAUCAUCCAACAACUAUAAUGGCAUAGUCGCUCAAACUUGUCCAUAACCGGGGAGACCGCUAAUCAUGAUUAGCUUUAAUACUCUGCAGAGUUUUGCUCUCCUUACCCACUAGACUCAACCCGAAGAUUGAGACGAAGCCUUUCAGAAGUAGUCACCUCCACCCACCGGCAGCCGGUACACCUACUCAUAUCUACAUCUGCUAGCUUACUUGGGCGAGGAUCCCACAACCAACUUAACUAAGCCAAAGCCCAUUUAGCUAGUGGUUGCGCAUGGAAGCUACUAGUCACUAAGUCUGUCUGAUCUUUUUGAGCCUGGGCGGCAUUCCACUUAGGGUGCACUCUCAUGAGCGCAUGGCCUUAGAAAAGGUGCAAGACCCCAUGAUGCCUUCCCUCAACACCAAGCAAUACCACUUCUGCCCAGAGGUGAGUUAAAUCCCGAGUUACUACUCAAUUGUUAUAUAUAUAUAAUCCUCACAUAAGCUCAAUGAAUACUCGAACCACCCCCGUCUACAAAGCAUAGCAAACUACAACUACCACGUGCAAUGACGGGAAGAUAGCUCAACAGCAUAGCCAAAAAUAUAUAAUACUCCUAUACAUGCAUAUAUUCAUAGUGUGAUAUAACUACAUGCAUAGGAAACAAUAGGUAAAGGAUGAUCAACAUGUAACUUGCCUUGGUUCUGGUUCAUAAAGUCACACUCCUGACAAUAGCUCGCGUCGUACUCCGGAAAAUCUACACGUUUCACACAAUUCAACAAAUCAAUCACCGAAACACGAAUAGAACCAAAACAAAACCAACAGCAAGAAAACCAUUUUUUAAACUCAACAACAGAAUCUUAACAGCACCUAAAUUGCUCUAUGGUCACAAUGCAAAAGGAAUCACUAAAUUUCGUUAAACGGUUGGGAAGUUACGGCCUCGGAAGAUUUGAUUAAAAUCCGAACGAAUGCAAAUUUGAAAGGUGCAAACAUGUGCAAAGUCGGUACUGUGAUAAUGUGCUCAUUUUUGUGAGAUCAUAGGAAAAAGAAUCACCUAAUUUGGAUAUAUAGAAUCGGAGAUAUAGCAAUUUGAAGAUUUGAGGAAAAUCUAAAAAAACAAAAAAACAAUAGAAAUCGCCUGGUCCUGUAGAGAACUCUUGUGCGUAUCCUGUAGCUAACUGCUGCGUGGCGCUUGGCGACUGGCCGAUGGCUUCGUUGUGCGCGUGUGCUCACCAUAACAGAGGAAUGGCGGUGGUGGUCUCGGGCGGCGGCGCGGCGGUUCUCCGGCGAGAGCGAAGUGACGGAUGGGUGUGGCGUCGAGCGGCGGAGGUAGUGGCUGUGUUCAACGGCGACGGGCUCCCUCGAGCGGUGGUGGCAAGUUCCUGAACUCAUGCGUGCUCCGGCGAAGUCGGGUUCGCUCGGGUGGCUCGCUCCACUGCGAUUCUGGCGACAAAAAAAUAUGUCAGCAAAGUGCGGCGUUGAGCAGAGGGUCGAGGGGAGUGAACGGUGUGGCCGGUGGUGUCCUUACGGCGGCGGAAACGGCUGGCGAAGAUGGCG
rnacentral:lncRNA from 1 species